GUAAGAAUUCACGAAUUCCCAAAAGUAUUCAAUAUGUUUGAGGAUGGAAGAAUAGAAGUUCGGAUUCCCCAAACCAAGCCGGAGCUCAAAAAGGACACCAUAGCUAAAAGGAUAUUCGAAGAACUGCGGGUCAGCCAAAAUAAACAUCCCGCUUUGUAGUGGCCAUUUUGUUCUGAGGUAACAUGGUUUCUCAACUUUAAUAAGCUGAAAACCUGAAUAUAUCGCCCACGCAACCACUUGUGCCUUAGAUGAAUUUUUUUGUACGACGUCGUGGUUACGCUGUAUAAUCUCCGUCUUCAACAGAAUUUCGUGAAAAUGAGC
rnacentral:misc_RNA from 1 species